AGAGCUGGAGAGCUGAAGAAAGAG
rnacentral:piRNA from 1 species